rnacentral:lncRNA from 1 species
AAUAAAUGACCUCGGCAUUGGGAUCUGAAGGUUCCAAUAGGUUCUUAUGAUGAUUUUGGACUUGGGCCCAUGCCUCGAUUGGGUUUUGGAUGAUCUGGGAGUGUAUCAGCACCUAUUGUGGAAGUUAGCAUUUUAGAAAAAAUUUCAUAAGUUUGGAUUGAAGUGCAUUUCAGGGUUAUCAAUGUCCAGUUGGGAUUCUGAGUUUGGGAGUAGCUCCGUAUGGUGAUUCUGGAGUUGAGAGCGCGAUCAGAAGUGAAUUCGGAG